CAGCAGCCGCGGUAAUACAGAAGGUGCGAGCGUUAAUCGGAUUUACUGGGCGUAAAGCGUGCGUAGGCGGCUUCUUAAGUCGGAUGUGAAAUCCCUGAGCUUAACUUAGGAAUUGCAUUCGAUACUGGGAAGCUAGAGUAUGGGAGAGGAUGGUAGAAUUCCAGGUGUAGCGGUGAAAUGCGUAGAGAUCUGGAGGAAUACCGAUGGCGAAGGCAGCCAUCUGGCCUAAUACUGACGCUGAGGUACGAAAGCAUGGGGAGCAAACAGGAUUAGAUACCCCCGUAGUCCCUGUCUCUUAUAC
rnacentral:rRNA from 1 species